rnacentral:rRNA from 1 species
AUACGAAGGGUGCAAGCGUUAAUCGGAAUUACUGGGCGUAAAGCGCGCGUAGGUGGUUUUGUAAGUUGGAGGUGAAAGCCCCGGGCUCAACCUGGGAAUUGCCUCCAAAACUGCAUGACUAGAGUACGGUAGAGGGUAGUGGAAUUUCCUGUGUAGCGGUGAAAUGCGUAGAUAUAGGAAGGAACACCAGUGGCGAAGGCGACUACCUGGACUGAUACUGACACUAAGGUGCGAAAGCGUGGGGAGCAAACAGGAUUAGAUACCCUGGUAGUCCACGCCGUAAACGAUGUCAACUAGCCGUUGGGAUCCUUGAGAUCUUAGUGGCGCAGCUAACGCAUUAAGUUGACCGCCUGGGGAGUACGGCCGCAAGGUUAAAACUCAAAUGAAUUGACGGGG